AGUAUGGACAUCCUCUCCUGUGAGGGGUUAUUUGUAUUGGGCAUGUACUUCAUAGAAUUCAUUGUAAUAAUGUAAGUCCCAAUCAUGUAUAUCUGAUUGUAAAUAUCAGUGUAAUACCUCUGCUACAAUAAGCAGUUGUUGUAAAUAUCUGUGUAAUGCAGUAAUCUGAUGAUUAAUCAGUCUCAAAAAAAAAAAAAAA
rnacentral:lncRNA from 1 species